rnacentral:rRNA from 1 species
GACGAACGCUGGCGGCGUGCUUAACACAUGCAAGUCGAGCGGAGCGGCGAACGGGUGCGUAACGCGUGAGUAACUGCCCCCCUCUCUGGGAUAACAGCUGGAAACGGCUGCUAAUACCGGAUAGUGGGGGCUGACUUGCGGCCUAUCAGCUUGUUGGUGGGGUAGUGGCCUACCAAGGCGACGACGGGUAGUCGGCCUGAGAGGGUGACCGGCCACAUUGGGCUGAGAUACGGCCCAGACGCCGACGGGAGGGAGCAGUGGGGGAUAUUGGAGAAUGGGCGAAAGCCUGAUGCAGCUACGCCGAGUGGGGGAUGAAGGCUGUCGGGUUGUAAACCUCUUUCGCUAUCGAAAGGGUAGGUGGAGAAGAAGCGCCGGCUAACUACGUGCCAGCAGCCGCGGUAAUUC